rnacentral:rRNA from 1 species
GUUUGAUCCUGGCUCAGGGUAAACGCUGGCGGCGCGCCUAAUGCAUGCAAGUCGAGCGGUCUUGGCGGCUUCGGCUGUCAGGAUAGCGGCAAACGGCUGAGUAACGCGUGAGUAACCUGUCCUUUGGUGGGGUAAAACCUCGAGAAAUCAAGGCUAAUACCGCAUGAGUUCCCUGUGCCUUGGCGCGGGGAGGAAAGCCUUCGGGCGCCAGAGGAGGGGCUCGCGCCCUAUCAGGUAGUUGGUAGGGUAACGGCCUACCAAGCCGACGACGGGUAGCUGGUCUGAGAGGACGGCCAGCCAGAGGGGGACUGAGACACGGCCCCCACUCCUACGGGAGGCAGCAGCAGGGAAUCUUGGGCAAUGGGCGAAAGCCUGACCCAGCGAUGCCGCGUGGGCGAAGAAGGUGUAAACCUUGUCAACUCCUUUUCUAAGGGAAGUUAUAGGACCGGGACCUCGCGGAAUAAGCCCCGGCUAACUCCGUGCCAGCAGCCGCGGUAACACGGUAGGGGGCGAGCGUUACUCCGGAUUUACUGGGCGUAAAGGGCGCGUAGGCGGUCUCGGCAAGUUUCCUGUGAAAAGCUCACCGGCUUAACCGGGGAGAGGCAUCCAAAACUGCUGGGCUAGAGGGCAAGCAGAGGAAAGUAGAAUUCCCGGUGUAGCGGUGAAAUGCAUAGAUAUCGGGAGGAAUACCAGAGGCGAAAGCGGCCAUCUGGGUUGUUCCUGACGCUCAGGGGCGAAAGCGUGGGUAGCAAACCGGAUUAGAUACCCUGGUAGUC